UUCUUCCCCGGCAGUGUUUCUGUAUUCCCCAAUAGGAUGGAUCUUAAGCAGAGUAAGAUCUUUUCCCUAGUAGAUCGCAUUGGUUUCCCCUCCAGUCGCCAUCCGACUCGCUCCCAGUCAGAGUUCCCUCCUGAUUUUUGAGCAACUAUUUGUGUUUAUCUUCUCCAUGGUUGUCUCCCAUUUAAUAUGUUGCUGACCUAAAACUCCCUGCAGGCUCGAUA
rnacentral:lncRNA from 1 species